UUAUUAUGAUGAAUCAUUUUUAAUGUCAGUUCUGCUACUGAUGUUAUUUGACGAUAAUAUUUCACCUGAAAA